AUUUAAGUUAUUAGUGAUUGGAUGCUGCUUAUUUUUGUACAGGUACCCAUUACGUUGUGAAAUUUGUAGAUUUCUUUACUGGAAACUACUUUUCUAUGUAGGCUUCUGCCUUGCAGACUAUUUAUGGGGCCACUGGAAACUGCCUUGGAACUGCUUUCUACUGCUGGUAGCGCAAAAUUUUCAGGGGCUGUCAAAAUAACUUUUUCUGGACUCUGGCAAACUAUAGAUUUACUGGUCAUCUCUGGAUAAUCUUAUAAAGCCACCUUUAGCCUUGACAUUUGUGAAAUUUAUUAUAAAAUUUGACAUUUGAUGAAAAUUGUUUAUGUUAUGGUUUAUAUUGGAUUGAGAUAUCUUCAAGUUUACUCAUCUUCCUGCGAUAUGUAUACCCGAUUAAUCUGUAGACUUUAAGCUUUUAUUUGAUAUAAGUCACUCUAGGUUUAAAUUCGUUUUUCUUUAUGUACUGAUUACUCACAAGUGUUGAUGGCAUUCAUUUUUUUGAACAUUUAUUCUGUACUUGAGAAUAAAUAUACUAUGUAAUAUCAUUGAUCGUUACUAGUU